UUCCUUAAGUCUGAUGUGAAAGCCCACGGCUCAACCGUGGAGGGUCAUUGGAAACUGGGGAACUUGAGUGCAGGAGAGGGGAGCGGAAUUCCACGUGUAGCGGUGAAAUGCGUAGAGAUGUGGAGGAACACCAGUGGCGAAGGCGGCUCUCUGGCCUGUAACUGACGCUGAGGCGCGAAAGCGUGGGGAGCGAACAGGAUUAGAUACCCUGGUAGUCCACGCCGUAAACGAUGAGUGCUAGGUGUUGGAGGGGUCAUACCCUUCAGUGCUGCAGCUAACGCAUUAAGCACUCCGCCUGGGGAGUACGGCCGCAAGGCUGAAACUCAAAGGAAUUGACGGGGGCCCGCACAAGCGGUGGAGCAUGUGGUUUAAUUCGAAGCAACGCGAAGAACCUUACCAGGCCUUGACAUCCUCUGACACCCCUGGAGACAGGGCUUCCCCUUCGGGGGCAGAGUGACAGGUGGUGCAUGGUUGUCGUCAGCUCGUGUCGUGAGAUGUUGGGUUAAGUCCCGCAACGAGCGCAACCCUCGUCCUUAGUUGCCAGCAUUCAGUUGGGCACUCUAAGGAGACUGCCGGUGACAAACCGGAGGAAGGUGGGGAUGACGUCAAAUCAUCAUGCCCCUUAUGGCCUGGGCUACACACGUGCUACAAUGGGCGGUACAAAGGGUUGCGAAACCGCGAGGUGGAGCUAAUCCCAAAAAGCCGCUCUCAGUUCGGAUUGCAGGCUGCAACUCG
rnacentral:rRNA from 1 species